AAAAUGGCGCUUCUCAGCGCCAACGAAAAAUUCACGAAAGAGUUAU
rfam:Culex pipiens quinquefasciatus supercont3.313 genomic scaffold, whole genome shotgun sequence.